CAAGGAAGAGAGAGGAUGCUGAUGAUGUAGGUAUCAUAGAAGGAGGAAUGAAAGAGCUCACCAUCAAUGACUCAAAUGAGCAAAAUAAAGAACAGUUAGAAGAAAAAUAUGAGGAUGAGAGCAUCAAUGAUCAAAUCAUUCCAGAACAACCUCAAGAUAUAAGUAAUCUUCCAAAGGAAUGGAGGUAUGUCCAUAAUCACCCCAAAGAACUAAUCAUUAGUGAUCCGGCAU
rnacentral:lncRNA from 1 species